rnacentral:lncRNA from 1 species
CGCGUUUUGGAACGUUAAUUGCGCAGAAGGAUGCGCAGAAGGAUGCGCAGAACGUCAGUCAGGUGGUAAACAUCGAGAAAGUGAUUUCAGAAAUUUGUUGGAGUUAUUUUUGAUGCUCGAGGCGGCGGCAGUCGAUGAAAAUUUACUACGCUGUGGAGAAUCAUGUCGGUUGGUCAACAACACAGAAUUCACGACGCUAGCGAAAUCGACAUAACCAAUUGAUUGGAGAUCUAAACAUAUAAACAAGCAAGAUUUAAGAAAAUCACUUGGGAAUCGCUGACGGGAUUUCAGAGGUUCCUCAAGAUAAUGGUACUACAAAAGCAUGGGGAUUUGAAGAAGUCUUCUGUUGCCUGUCCUUUCUUCCACAUUUACAAAAACGUUCUACGUUGAACAUUGAAAUUCAAAUGAUAGAAACGUACAACUACAGAUUUAUACAGAAGAUGACAACCUUUCUUAUUACUCUCGGAUACAUCAUGGCUUUCAUCAUCCAUAUGUUAUCGCGGUCCAAUUAAAAUUCAGAUUUACUGGCGGCAGACGUAGUAACAAUAUUAAGGAUCAGGGAACCAUUUCACGAGCGAAGACGACGUUUCGUUCUCCGUAACCCCUUGCACGGUUAAUGAAGAGUUCGCUAUAUCCCGGGAUGGCAGCUGACGUUGCAUUCAUGCAUGAGAGUGCCGCGUCCCGGUCAUUUGGCCUGUGGUGCGACUAAAAACAAGGCAGCGCUCUCGAGUUUUGUCCCAUCGGUGGCCGGUAACGCGCCUUCCAUGGGGACCAGCAGCAAAAGAAAAUUUCAAAGGGGACCAUCGACCCGCUGGCCCACACAUCGAGUUGCCGGAACAUGCGGAUUAAGCCAUUAAAGCCUGCUUCAAGCUGUUUCGGGGAAAUUCACGAGACAGAGAGUUCGUUAUUGUUACUCUAUCACAAGCAAAACUGCUGUCCGUUUAUUUCGAUACAUGCGACGAAUGAACCGUCGUGUCGCCAUGAGAUUAUUAUUGAACCUGCACCUUGAUUCUCUUGCUAUAGGAUAAGGGAGAGAUAUUUGAGUCAAGCUAAGUAAUUCGUCAAAUUAUUUUGUUUACCAACAAUUUUUAAUAUUUACAUUUGAAAACACAUUAUUUAGCUCUUUUUAACUGACGUGAUAUAUCCUUAUUAAUUCAAAUAGGGCCACCAUAGGUCUAUUUGAAUCAUUUUCCCAUGCAUAAGCAUGUAUGAUAUUUUCUCAUCAUUUGAUUCAUUUGAUUAUUCCAUGCAAAGUUAAAAAUUAAAUUUUAAGAUGUUGAAGAUAUUGGCACAAGUAACCCUAACUUACUACCAUACCUAGAUUUAAUAUUCAAAAUUCUACUUUUAAGUUAUGUUCUGAUGUGCAUGUAAUAAUCAGUUACUGAUGUGUUUGUGUAAUCUAUCCUUCGGUUUAAUUUCGUGAUUUUCAAUAAAUUUUCAGUAAAAUGAUCAUGUACAUCUCUCAUAUACUAAGAGAUACCUUGGUGUUUAUUUGAAAUUUCUACGAAGAUUCUUAUCGACUCCUCAAGCUCGUAAAAGUAUGCCUUCGUUUCACCGCGUGAAACGACCAACAAAUUACACAACGGUCAGACUUUUACUUGAAUGAGCAAAGAACCGCGAGAACAGCGAUGGUCAAGCACGCGCGAGACCUUCCACGAGAUAAUUUAUUGGUCAAUCAAAAUGACGCAUGGAGGUAUAAGGUGACACGUCAGCGUGCACGGUUGACCAUUAAUUUUAAUACCCGUCACCAUCAGAUCUCCCGACGCUGCUUUCCACGUUGGCUCCCCACUGACGGUGGAGCGUAUCCAUCGGCAUCGGCUACCGUACGACUAAUGCCCCGUUCACUAACGACGAUCAUCCUUGAAGAUCUCGGUCUACCGAUCUCUCACGGUCGCCACGAAUUAUUAUCCUUCUCUUAAUCCCGCGUAGCUGACCCGCCGCACAAUCCUAUCGGGUGGCAAUUUCAAUAAUGGAACAAAUCGAAGGAUUAAGCUUUUUGAAUAUAUAAAAAAAAAUUAGGGAACUUAGAGAAACAAGCAAAUGGAGUUAAAGAUUAGAGACAAUCUUUUAUGUGCAACUUCCACAAAAUAGCAGCAAAAGAAAUGAUCGUGAAUAUAAUACACUGAUAAAGAGACAAGAGGAUAACGAAGAAAAACGAAAGCGGAAUAAACCAAUAAAUACCUACAAUCUUGUGAAAAAUCAUGCAAUUAAGAUACGAUCAAACGAAAGCUGCGAGCUGGCGUCCGAAUAUAUCAAUGGUACGCCAAGAACGCGUCGAGAGGUAUGCAAGCACGGUGCUUAUCUGGUGUCCGAGGCGCGCAACUAGAGAAUUCUAGGACGUUAUUUACGGCUGAUUAGCAGGCUCAAUAAUUCCCUUCCGCAUUACUUUAUUGAGUCCCAUGGCCCACGCGCGAUUUGCAUGCGAUUUAUGGCACAAGAUAGACCGAUACCGCUGCCUCCGGAUCGGCUCGUUCUGUUGGGCCGAUCUCGUAUGUAAACAGAGGCCGAACCAAACUGACCGGUAAUCUCCGACGAAUUUGCAUCUGGUUCUUUUUCUAAACAGUUCGAGCGAACCAGGUAAUAUGCAGCGUGUUGCAUGCAUAAAAGGGAAACGCGCAUACGUUGAAACAACGAAACAGAAUUGUCUUUCAAGAGGAUCAAAUGGCGUCCGUGAAACGGAAACCAUUUGUUUCCCAACGAUUCAGGGAUUAUUCCAGCCGCAUCUGUUUAACGCGCAUCAUCGACGUUUCAAUCGGUAACACGAGCAUCUACGGUCAACAUCUAAUCCCUAUUCGUUUCAUCGACUAUUCCAAAGUGGCAGAGUAUACGUCAACGUGAAAUGAAUCACGGUAUGCUGACGGUUCUCGAGACGGAUGCAUAAUUUCGAGGCUCGAAGCUCCCAAGGCUGGUUCCUGUCCCCGUCGCGUUACAGAAGGCGCGCACGGUUGCUCAGGAAUGUCGAACGGGUCGGUCACAGGGUUAAUGUUUGCUGCCUCCUCACGUGCCUCUGACUUUUCUCCCUGGUUGUAUCUCAUUUGUAAAGAUUCCGGGACAAAGGAGCCACCAAGAACCGUUUGUGUGGCUUCGCGGCUCGCUUCACCCAUAAGUAGUCUCGACUUGGGCCAUGUACGUCUGCCGGACAGACAGAAGCGCGAGUCUGUCAAGUGGCGCGAUUAUAAUCUGACAGGGACGUAUCGGUUGCCGGUCUUUCCUCCCGAUUCCGAGCAAUCGACAAUAUAUUUUGGAGUCAAGCGUUACUAGGCGCCGAGCAUCGAAUAUUUCCAUAACUUACGAGUGACGUAUCGCAUUACAAACAGGGCCAAAUAUUUAUUUUUACGUAUACGUCGAAUGCGAAGGAGAGGCUGCACGAAAUAUUUGUUACUGCGUAUUAUGACUUACACUCACUUUAAGGUUGUCAAGUUUAAUUACAAUGACUUAUUUCAGAAUAUACGUGUAAGUAAUCGAAUUUAUGAGAAUCGAUGGAGGUGAGCCUACGUUUGAUGUUCACGAGAUAUCGUUUAAAUUCAACCGAUGAAAUAUUACGGGAUGGUUCAGGUACUCAACUUCUGUCCGUCUCCGACCAUCAGUUCUUGUACGUUCCCGAAAGCGAGGCUGAUCCUUCGGACAUCCUGGACGAUCUUUGGCCGACAACCUUUAGGCUCCAUUAUCGAAAAAGAAAAAUGGGCACACCAAUAUACGAAGAAACCAAUGAAAUUAUUUAUUCUCCAACGUCAACGAACUCUGUCUCCAAUCUUCUUAUUUCCGACCCUAACGAUGACUAUCUAACUUCAACAUGAUUUCAACUUUUCAUCGGUCCUCCUCGCCGUUUAUCGUCGUCCGGCGAAGCUGCUAGAAGUCCUUCACGCACUCUGCACCACUGGUUAUGCGAAGUUAACAGAGACAACUUAAUCGUAAAUCAAACGCGUUAUUGUUGUUAUAUUCCAAAGCGAACUACCAACGUUAUUGGCUGAUGGCUUGAGAUAUUCUUUGGUGGAGGAGAUAAGAAAUUAUUUUUUCCUCUACGCUGAUUAUUUAUUUUUGAAUUAACGCAACCUUGCGCGUUACUUUCGCUUUCGAUGCAAUUUAUUGGUCGCUGGCUUUAUCAAUGCGAUAAGACUGGAAUAGUUGCAAUCAUCGAAUUCAACACGAAUACAAAGAGUUGACGCGACAGUAACUGGAAUACAAGUUUCGGAAAAUAAGCGAAUAAAUUUUCUGCAAUAUUUUUGCUCCAGAGUUUCUUUUGUUUUCGAUGCAAUUUAUUGGUCAGAAGCUUUAACAAUCCAAUAAGAUGCUGCAACUACAAUACAUAGGCGUUACCAUGCUUUUCGAAUGCAAGAAGAACGCAAGAGUGGUUCUUCUGGACGUUAAUAACUCGUUAUAAAUAUCGUAAUGGUUGCCACCUUGCAUGCAUGUAUAUGUACACGGAGAAAGCAUUUAUUAAUCUUCUAGGCGGAGCAUCAAGAUGCAAUCUUGAAUGAUUAUUAUACGAAACGACUUAUUGUUCCGGAUCAGCUGUUGAAAAAAUACGCAUCCAUCGAAAGAGUAUCAAUUUCUUCUAAACGCUGCACUUGACCCUAUUUGAUCGAACGAACUGGAAAAUUGCCAGUUCGGAAUAUGAAGUUUUGAAUGAAGAAUCAUAAUUAGAAGAACGGUGUGGAAGCUAACAAACGGACGAAGAUUAUUACUUUUCAGAUUCUCGACCGUUACCCAGGAUAUUUAAGAUCGAUUAUUUUUAGAAUUGCAGAAGAUGACUAUGAUACGCUAGAACUUCCUUUUCGUUAGUGCAAAUAUUUUCCCGUACGUUGCUAUACUUAUAAAAUGGUGGAUUAUAUCGACGUUUAUGUGAAUUCUAAUUAUAUUUCAUUCUCCUAUUUCGGAUGGAUAGAAUAAUAUAAAUCGUAGGAGACUAUCAAACUGACACACCGUGAAAAACAUGUAAUAAUUUAAAUAGUGCUAAAGAUAGUUGUAUUUUCUCGAGAUCGCUCAAAAAAUAACAUCUUGAAAUGCCGCCUUAAGGGAGCUUCCGGCGAAACACAAAAAUUUCUAGAACGCUGAAAACGAGCGAUCGAGAAAGCGACAGGGCAGCAGCCAGUUUCUUGUACUACUGCUCAGAAAUGACUGAGGUAACGAACGGUCGGCAGUCUAAUUACUUAAGCGAAGUAGUCUCGUUGUCAGUGGCAGGAAAGAGGCAUUCAGGAACCCACUUCUCGCUCUCUCGACCCUCGUUCCGCUUCUCGACUUCUCUCUGUCUCGCACCAUUGCACGCUUUCCAUUUAAGGAACAACCUCCCCCUCUUCUCAACAGCUGUAGGCGUUUCGAGGGGUAAAACCAAUAACGCUAAGACGUCCUCGAGAGAGUGAGUACAUCCCCGAAAGUACCUCGCAUACCGAGGACGUGCGGCCGCGAACGAACACUAAUUUCCUCUCGACCUAUCCUUGAGUUAGACGUCAGCUACCGACCUGGCUGCGCCUCGCUCUCCUCGUCGCGUCGUUUCUCUUCAACGCUGCCGUCCUUGAUUAACGCCGCGAGUCAUUGUCAGUUCUCGUCACCUGUCGUCGUUGUCGUGUUUCCAGCGGAACGACAGUUUAUCUUGCGACGACGAUUCCCUUUUUUAGGGAAAAUGAGAGUUAUUGAAUCGUUUGUAAGGGAAUAAUAUGAUAGUUUAUAUUGCUGGAAUAUUUUCAUUAUAAUUGUUGAUAGAGUUAAAUAACCGGCAGCAGAAAGAGAUGCGCUACUGAGCAAAUUUUUACAAAAAUAUAACAUAAUUUUAAAAAAAUUGAAUUACUAGAAAAAUUUAAGACAGCUUAAAGAUAAAAUAAGAUAAGAUAUAGACGUUUUUUGAAUUGCAGAUCGAAUGAGGGUAGUAUGAUAGGAUAAGGGAAAAUUAGUCACUGUAUGACAAUCCGUUACAAUUAAUUUUCAUUACACAUUCACUUGUACAUAAGAUUAUUUUAAGUUUUACAAUUUUUAAUUUAGCAUUGCGAGGUACGCAAUUUCAAUCUACUAGCGUGCUUUUACUAUUACAAAACGGAAUUGUUUCUCGAUAAACAAUUCAAUCUAAGAAUUUAUGAAUUGAAGGACAAGUGAGCAUCGUACAAAUCUUGCCUCUGUGUCACCUGAUAGUCAUCUUUCCAAUUACUCAUGCUACAAGAAAUAGCCAUUGAACUUUGUUUCACUUAUUACACCUGUGUCGAAGAAAAAUAUACUAACGGAUAAAAUGGAUUAUAAUAUAAAUCACAGAAGAAACAAGAUAAGGUUCGUAGGGACGCGUCUCCAACUAUUCGCUUCUUGCUCAGAAUUUUACCGAUGUAAUUCAAUUGACGGAAAAACUCGUCGGAUCGAGAACAAUUAAACCGCUUCAUCAUUGUCCUGUCAUCCAGGCGACGAAGCCGAGAGCGUUUUGUCGCUGAAGGACGACUAGUCGUUUCGUACCAUCAUCCACUCGAUUCCAUCCUCGAAACGCAGCUACACCAAUACAUAUAUCCCUCUGUGUCUCGCCCCUUCUGCCUCUCGCAGAAAGAACAGAGUUUCCCCUGAACCAGCGUUCAGCCUUUGCGUAACAAAUCGUAGAAACCGUCGGGUUCGUUCUCUUUCAGUUUUGCUGGUUGGCUCGCCGGUCACGUUGCUUUUAAUUGUAGCUGGUAUCGGCGGUGAGCCAGUCGAGAGACGAGAGGGGCCUGGCCUACGCUUCGAAUUGGUUUGGAGGCAAUCGAUGGAUUGUCACGGGAUUCCGGAGAUUGGCGGAAAAAGUGGGAGAAAGAUGGAACGUGUAAAUAGUUCGUCUUGCAUCGACAACCUCUGCUGAUGAAUUUAGCGAAAUCAUCUUCUCUCCGUGUGACUAAAAACGAUCGAUUCGCUGGAUCAUUCGGCCAUCUCACCGUGAUUCAAACAUAUAUCCUAAUGUUCUUGCAAAGGGAGUGCCACGUUUUUGUCAAGGGUUUAUGCUCUUGGUCGAUCAAGGGAAGAAAAAGAAGGUACCAGCUUGAGAAACGCCCCUCGCGUUUCUUUCGUGUCAUUCGAGGAUAUUUGCAGAGGCCGUCGCAUGGUCGGCCGUAUUGGAAACAUUACUGAACGUCUUUGAGAGUUUACGAGUUAGAUACUCGAUGUAGGGAUCGUACCAAGAAAGGAGACCGUUUCCAACGGAUUCUUAGAAGCGAGCGUAAGAGGAACGCCGCGCCGGGAUCAAGUCCUCAUAAAUUUAUCGAUCGUUCUUGCAAAACCCCGCAGAGAGCGGCGUGAACCGAUGAGGACAGCGUCUCAAGACUUUUUCCCAUUCCCAAGGGAGAAAGUUUGCGAUCUGAAGCUCUAUCACAUUUAAACGAUAUCUAAAGUCUAUCUCUUGCUCUUUUCAUCUAAAGGCUCAUUUUCGUCAUUCCAUCGGUUCUGUAGAGGAAAAGCUUGCAAUUUGAAAUUCUACCAGUGUACAACGCUGGGAUCAUAAAGCAUGGCUUGAUAAUUACGAGUCUUGGACACGAUCGACUCGCACGAUUGACGUCGAGUCUCUCUCGAUUGCGAUCAAGCCAACGAUCGACGAGGGCUGCGCGAGGUAAGUCGUACCACUAUGAAUCGCGCGGUGCCGCGUACGUGCAAUGAUCCGACUCGUUCUUAAAGCGCCACUAAACUUGCGCGUCACGUUCCUUUUAAUUACGUCUGCCAACGACGACGGAUGCGAAACGGCCGCAGAGGGAGGGACGCAAAGAAUUCAUUAAACGAUACUCUCUGGAACAACCGAGAGCUAUACCAGAACCGAAGUGGGACAGGUGCUGGAUCAUACCUCGAGAAACCGCGAGCUCAACCACGUCUACGACACCACCGAUCUAAAAAGGCAGUUACGUAUUUUUGCAAUCGCGCAGGUGUCUGUUCUGUUGAUGAAACGAAGUUGGGAAGCCAGAUCGGUGGUUGCAAUAAAGUUGGUUUAUUUAAGUUUGUAACAGAUUGAAGAAGGAAGAGAAACCAUUAUUUUUGGAUAAAGGAAUUUUAUAUGAUCCAACGGUGAUUUGUCCGAAUUUGUUUGAAUUUAUAUGAAAGGUUUUUUUUUCGAAAAGGAGAACAUUAUUUUUAAAUAUUUUAAAUCACUGAUCUGAUAGUUGGAAAAAUUGACUUCGAUUUAACAGAGUACAUAUGUCUGAAUAUCGUUUGGUUAGAUAAUUUGUGGUACACUUUACGAAAUAUGUUAACUACUAGUUGGCAAACCAUACUAAAUCAUAAUCGAAAUGUGUGCAUUUAUUAAUUAAAACUUCACUUUUCUUGCUUCUGAAUACAUUCACAUACGCGUGAAAUCUGUCAAAUAUCUACAUAUAUUAUCUAGAAAAUAAAUUUAUUGAAUUAAUACAUUUACUGUAACAUAUCAAAGAAAGGCCAAUGCACUGUAAUAUUUCAUUUUUCCAAAUUUUUUUAAUGCAAAUACGUUAGAGUUAAAUUGCAAUUAAAUCAUUCUGAAAUAUCUACGUGGAGAGGGUCGAGAAAAUCUGACUGGUUCCACGACAACCUUGUAUUGCAGUCGAGUGCUUAAAUACCAGCGGAAGGUAACGCGUUACUCUGGCUAUAGCAGAAAUCAAUUAAGAAGUCGGAAAAUUUAUCACGGGUCUACAAGACCGGCUACAGGAACAGUUUCUCAAUACUGGCUAACGUUCGUGCCGUCCCGCGGCCUGUCGCGAUCACCACUUGCAAUUAUCAAUUCUAAUUAACGAUCGUCGCGUCCAGAGUUUCAUUAUUGUUUUUAAUUACCAGUCCUACCGGUCGUUUCUCUAAAUCACCAUUAAUGAAACUAUCUAGCGGCCUGUCACUAGCAAACGGAUUUUUCUACGGAAUCAGCCCCAGAGGCUCGUGAAUCGUGACGCUAUUAAGGGAAACGAUCGUCCUCGAUUUUUCCCGUCAGGACUCAUGCGAUCAGUUUUAUAGCGAUUUCAUAGCAUUUUCACGUCCUCGUGCCAAUUUCAUAGCCAUGUACACGACGAAAUCGCGAUCAUUUUACAAUGCCAUAGAAUCUAUAGUAAUUUGUCAUGUAGAAUUUAAUCUUAAUGUUAAGAAAAUUAAUCUGUGGAAGACACAAUGUUUA